GUACUCACUUUGGCAGCACAUAUACUUUAAAAAAUUGGAACAAUACGGAGAAGGUUAGCAUGGCCCUUGCACAAGGAUGACAUGCAAAUUCAUGAAGUGUUCCAUAUUUUU
ensembl:snRNA U6 U6 spliceosomal RNA